rnacentral:lncRNA from 1 species
GAUUUUUAGACAGCUAUGCAUAUUUUAUUAGCACAGACUGAAGAUGCCUAUCAGUAGUUAACAAUUUCCAGAUACCAAAAGCUUGUUAGACUCUUGGACUACAACUACGUUUCUCUCUAUGCUCAAGACCUUGCAGGUUGACACAAGAUGCUGUAGAGGAAGAGAAAGGCCUGGAGGAGUAUGGACAUCAGCAUGAGACUGUGGGUGCUCAGCAAAGGUCCACUGGCAGAAUGGAGAGAUGAAGGUGUCUCUCCGAGGUUGUGCCUGUUGAGCUCUCAGAGGGUGGGAUCUGGCACCAAACUCAGUGGGUUGCACAUAAUCUCCAGUGCAGCAGGGAGGCAAGGAAUGUUGGAGAGGUCCCACAGUUCACUGCCCUGCAAUCCUUUGUGGUAGGUCCAGGUCUAGAGGAGCCCUGGCUUCAAGGUAAGAGUUUGUCUUAGUGUAAAGGCGUUAUUCAAGUCUUAUUAAAGUCAAACAUGCAGGAGUUGUGCUCAGGAGUGGUUACUCAUUUUGGUCCUAGUGAGGAACUGGCUGGUGGUGGACACAGGGCAGCACUCUCUGUGCUUCAGGUGCAGUGCUUUGAGUGAGUUUGGGAUCCCCUCUGCUGAAAACACCUGCUUGGUGGUGUAUCAUUUCUUUUUGGAUGACACGUUCAAAUGAAAAGAGGUUAGAGGGACUUACCCACCCAAAGAUGCUUUUCCUCAUCCCAAAUUUCUACAACAGUGACCCCAGUUUUCCAUUGUAGUCAGGAUACACAAAACCAGCAUAGUCUUGGGUCUUCCCCUUCUUGUCCUCAACCUUAAACUGUGUUGUUCUUCCCCCUUUCCAUAGAGAAUGUGAUGAGCAGCUUAGCAACAGACUUUUGCAUUGCAAAUAGUGAGAGUCCUAUUUGCUCCCAUUGGGAUAGAUUUUAUGAGACUGGGGGCCAUCCCUCGCCCUUGUAGCAGCCUUCCAUUGACAGUUCUGCCAGCACUUACUGGUGCUGCUAGUACAAUCUGAAAAAGAAGCACAAAAAAAUCACUUUUUGGCGUCCUGAUAGACAGAAUAGGGCCGUGUGGCCUCCAACUGGCUAUUGGAGCUGUAAAUUUCCCCAAAGCCUGCUAAAGCCUCACUGCAGCAUACUCAAAUUUCUAACUGCACCCCUUACUCCUCCUGGGAACCACACUGCUCAUGGCUGCUUCUUUGCUCUUCCUUCCCACUCACAUCUCUGUUUGGAUGAGGAGACCUAAGAAAUAGUGACAGCCUUCAUAAUUAUC